AACGCAUUUUGCGCUCUCUGGUAUUCCGGGGAGCAUGCUUGACUGAGGGUCGGUAAAACAAAUCAUCGAGACUAAUCUUGAUGGUCGAUGGGUGUCAAUCCGGUUAGCCUCUCUGGGGAUAAAACCGGUCACCUGAAAUAAUAGGCUCCGCGCCGUUUAGCGGACUCGUGCAGUAACUCUGCUCUAAGCAAUGACUACGCGAUAGGCGACGGAAAGCGAGAAGCCACGUUUUGGUUUUUUUUCUAAAAAGCCAAAUGCGUCUCUGGCGCACAUUGUAUUCUCGACCUCAGAUUAAGCAAGACCACCCGCUGAACUUAA
rnacentral:misc_RNA from 1 species